GUGGGUAUAGCUCGGUGGUAGAGCACAUGCUUAGCAUGCACAAGGUCCUGGGUUCGAUCCUCAGUACCUCCA
rnacentral:tRNA from 1 species